rnacentral:tRNA from 1 species
AUUAUUUUGGCAGAUUAGUGCAGUAAAUUUAGAAUUUAUUUAUGUAAUUAUUUUACAAAUAAUA